rnacentral:piRNA from 1 species
UGCUUUUGCUGAUCUGGGAUGGC